AGAGUUUGAUCAUGGCUCAGGAUGAACGCUAGCUGGAGGCUUAAUACAUGCAAGUCGAGCGGGAUUGGUAGCAAUACCAUGAGAGCGGCGCACGGGUGAGUAACGCGUACACGACCUACCUCUGACAGGGGGAUAGCCCUGGGAAACUGGGAUUAAUACCGCAUAUUAUUCUGAUUAAUAAAGGAUUGGAAUGAAAGUUCAGGCGGUCAGAGAUGGGUGUGCGUCUGAUUAGCUAGUUGGUAGGGUAACGGCCUACCAAGGCGAUGAUCAGUAGGGGGCGUGAGAGCGUGGUCCCCCACACGGGUACUGAGACACGGACCCGACUCCUACGGGAGGCAGCAGUAAGGAAUAUUGGACAAUGGCCGCAAGGCUGAUCCAGCCAUCCAGCGUGCAGGAAGAAGGCCCUAUGGGUUGUAAACUGCUUUUAUCAGGGAAUAAACCUCUGGAUUCACUCCGGAGCUGAAGGUACCUGAAGAAUAAGCACCGGCUAACUCCGUGCCAGCAGCCGCGGUAAUACGGAGGGUGCGAGCGUUAUCCGGAAUUACUGGGUUUAAAGGGUGCGUAGGCGGCUUUGUAAGUCAGGAGUGAAAGUUUGCGGCUCAACCGUAAAAUUGCUUCUGAUACUGCAUGGCUAGAAUUAGGAUGAGGUCAGCGGAAUGUGGCAUGUAGCGGUGAAAUGCAUAGAUAUGCCAUAGAACACCAAUUGCGAAGGCAGCUGGCUAGACCUAUAUUGACGCUGAGGCACGAAAGCGUGGGGAGCGAACAGGAUUAGAUACCCUGGUAGUCCACGCCCUAAACGA
rnacentral:rRNA from 1 species